rnacentral:rRNA from 1 species
UACGAAGGGGGCAAGCGUUGUUCGGAAUUACUGGGCGUAAGGGGCGCGUAGGCGGCUUAUCAAGUCAGGCGUGAAAUUCCCGGGCUCAACCUGGGGGCUGCGCUUGAUACUGAUUGGCUUGAAUGCGGGAGAGGAUAGUGGAAUUCCCAGUGUAGAGGUGAAAUUCGUAGAUAUUGGGAAGAACACCGGUGGCGAAGGCGGCUAUCUGGCCCGUAAUUGACGCUGAGGCGCGAAAGCGUGGGGAGCAAACAGG